rnacentral:misc_RNA from 1 species
CCUAGCAGCACCCAAACCAAUUCUAAAGCGAGUAGGCCAAUCCAGUUCACUUGCAUUCCCAUUUAAGAAUGAGUGCAAAGUACCAUUUGACAGGUGUUUAUAAACCAAAAGCUUCUCCUCUUCAACAACACAAAACCCCAACAGUGGCACCAGAUUAGGAUGCCUAAGUUGUCCUAGCCUAUACAUCUCAUCACGAAAGUGUUUCUCGCUCAGUUUGCAAGUAUUAAGCCGCUUAAUGGCAAGUGCAGAACCAUCACGUAACACAGCAUUAUAAGUAGUACCCAUUCUAGUUGAGUUGAUAACAUUGUCCGUCCUGAAACCAUUUGUGGCAAUCAACAAAUCAGCUAAUUUAACCUUGACGAGCGGUUUCUGGAACAACAUAACCUGAGUGAGCUUGUGAGCCCUCAGUUUAUCAGCCCAACUAUCAGAGUCGUCUCUCCCAACUCCAUACCCUCUCUUCCUCUUUCCAGCUUUGGUAAAAAACCAAUACCACGCACCAAAAGCCAACAACAUAGAAGCAGCAGCACCAAAGACUCCUGCUGCAAUAAUAAUAGCUAAGCUUUUCUUACUUAGACCUCCACAUUUCCCCAAAGGUCCACCACAGAGACUAUUUCCUUCAAAAUUAAACUUAGACGAAUCGAAAGCUGCGGGGAUUCUACCGGAGAGUUGAUUAUUUGCCACAGAAAAACUAUUAAGCCUACUUAAACUAGAAAAUUCAGGAGGAAUAUUUCCAGUAAGCUUGUUAUCACUGAGCGAUAAUUUAUUCAAAAAAGUGCAUUUAGCAAGAUCGGCAGGGAUAGGACCGGAGUAAUCGUUACCGGACAAGUCUAGGGUUACCAAAUAAGGUAGCCAAGUACAAAUUUGAGAAGGAAUUGGACCAGAAAAGCUAUUACCAGAGAGAUCAAGGGUUGUCAAGCUGGCACAAUACUGUACAGGCUCCGUAACCUUCCCUCCGAGGUUCAUAGCCGGAAUAGAGAGGCUGAUGAUGCGAUUUUCGUUGUCAUUCCAGCAAGUAACACCCACAAAUUUACAGAUAGCUCCGAUAGUAGUAUUUUUAAAGUUCCAUGAAUUCAGAUUCCCAUCUGGAUCUUCCAAAGACUUCUUGAAUCCUUCUAAACACUUGAGAUCAUCU